rnacentral:rRNA from 1 species
GACGAACGCUGGCGGCGUGCUUAACACAUGCAAGUCGAACGGAAAGGCCCUGCUUGCAGGGUACUCGAGUGGCGAACGGGUGAGUAACACGUGGGUGAUCUGCCCUGCACUUCGGGAUAAGCCUGGGAAACUGGGUCUAAUACCGGAUAGGAGCCAUUUUUAGUGUGAUGGUUGGAAAGUUUUUUCGGUGUAGGAUGAGCUCGCGGCCUAUCAGCUUGUUGGUGGGGUAAUGGCCUACCAAGGCGGCGACGGGUAGCCGGCCUGAGAGGGUGGACGGCCACACUGGGUCCGAGGGAAGGCCCCGACUCCGACUGGAGGCAGCAGGGGGGAAGACUGCACGAUGGGCGCCAGCCUGAUGCAGCGACGCCGCGUGGGGGAUGACGGCCUUAGGGUUGUAAACUCCUUUCGCUAGUGACGAAGCUUUUUGUGACGGUACCUAGAUAAGAAGCACCGGCUAACUACGUG